GGGGAAAUCAUAUAAGGGCUAGUAUCUCGUGUUUGCAUCACGAGCGUUAGGGUUCGAGUCCCUAUUACUCCA
rnacentral:tRNA from 1 species